GACGAACGCUGGCGGCGUGCUUAACACAUGCAAGUCGAACGAUGAAGCCCAGCUUGCUGGGUGGAUUAGUGGCGAACGGGUGAGUAACACGUGAGUAACCUGCCCUUGACUCUGGGAUAAGCGCUGGAAACGGCGUCUAAUACCGGAUACGACCUGCCCCGGCAUCGGGUGUGGGUGGAAAGUUUUUCGGUCAAGGAUGGACUCGCGGCCUAUCAGCUUGUUGGUGAGGUAAUGGCUCACCAAGGCGACGACGGGUAGCCGGCCUGAGAGGGUGACCGGCCACACUGGGACUGAGACACGGCCCAGACUCCUACGGGAGGCAGCAGUGGGGAAUAUUGCACAAUGGGCGCAAGCCUGAUGCAGCAACGCCGCGUGGGGGAUGACGGCCUUCGGGUUGUAAACCUCUUUUAGUAGGGAAGAAGGACUUCGGUUUGACGGUACCUGCAGAAAAAGCACCGGCUAACUACGUGCCAGCAGCCGCGGUAAUACGUAGGGUGCAAGCGUUGUCCGGAAUUAUUGGGCGUAAAGAGCUCGUAGGCGGUUUGUCGCGUCUGCUGUGAAAACCCGAGGCUCAACCUCGGGCCUGCAGUGGGUACGGGCAGACUAGAGUGCGGUAGGGGAGAAUGGAAUUCCUGGUGUAGCGGUGGAAUGCGCAGAUAUCAGGAGGAACACCGAUGGCGAAGGCAGUUCUCUGGGCCGUAACUGACGCUGAGGAGCGAAAGCGUGGGGAGCGAACAGGAUUAGAUACCCUGGUAGUCCACGCCGUAAACGUUGGGCGCUAGAUGUGGGGACCUUUCCACGGUUUCCGUGUCGCAGCUAACGCAUUAAGCGCCCCGCCUGGGGAGUACGGCCGCAAGGCUAAAACUCAAAGGAAUUGACGGGGGCCCGCACAAGCGGCGGAGCAUGCGGAUUAAUUCGAUGCAACGCGAAGAACCUUACCAAGGCUUGACAUAUACCGGAAACUUCCAGAAAUGGUUGCCCCGCAAGGUCGGUAUACAGGUGGUGCAUGGUUGUCGUCAGCUCGUGUCGUGAGAUGUUGGGUUAAGUCCCGCAACGAGCGCAACCCUCGUUCUAUGUUGCCAGCACGUCAUGGUGGGAACUCAUAGGAGACUGCCGGGGUCAACUCGGAGGAAGGUGGGGAUGACGUCAAAUCAUCAUGCCCCUUAUGUCUUGGGCUUCACGCAUGCUACAAUGGCCGGUACAAAGGGCUGCGAUACCGUAAGGUGGAGCGAAUCCCAAAAAGCCGGUCUCAGUUCGGAUUGAGGUCUGCAACUCGACCUCAUGAAGUCGGAGUCGCUAGUAAUCGCAGAUCAGCAACGCUGCGGUGAAUACGUUCCCGGGCCU
rnacentral:rRNA from 1 species